rnacentral:ncRNA from 1 species
GGGUGUCGGAUUCACGGUGAAUUCGUUAGGGUAACUGCGCAGGUCGGGCCGCCGCG